rnacentral:rRNA from 1 species
GACGAACGCUGGCGGCGUGCUUAACACAUGCAAGUCGAACGGAAAGGCCCUGCUUUUGUGGGGUGCUCGAGUGGCGAACGGGUGAGUAACACGUGAGUAACCUGCCCUUGACUUUGGGAUAACUUCAGGAAACUGGGGCUAAUACCGGAUAGGAGCUCCUGCUGCAUGGUGGGGGUUGGAAAGUUUCGGCGGUUGGGGAUGGACUCGCGGCUGAUCAGCUUGUUGGUGGGGUAGUGGCUUACCCAGGCUUUGACGGGUAGCCGGCCUGAGAGGGUGACCGGCCACAAUGGGACUGAGAGACGGACCAGACGCCUACGGGAGGCAGCAGUGGGGAAUAUGGCACAAUGGGCGGAAGCCUGAUGCAGAAACGCCGCGUGCGGGAUGACGGCUUGCGGGGUGUAAACCGCUUUAGCCUGUGACGAAGCGUGAGUGACGGUAAUGGGUAAAGAAGCACCGGCUAACUACGUG